AUUGAACGCUGGCGGCAUGCCUUACACAUGCAAGUCGAACGGCAGCACGGGUGCUUGCACCUGGUGGCGAGUGGCGAACGGGUGAGUAAUACAUCGGAACAUGUCCUGUAGUGGGGGAUAGCCCGUCGAAAGCCGGAUUAAUACCGCAUACGAUCCACUGAUGAAAGCGGGGGACCUUCGGGCCUCGCGCUAUAGGGUUGGCCGAUGGCUGAUUAGCUAGUUGGUGGGGUAAAGGCCUACCAAGGCGACGAUCAGUAGCUGGUCUGAGAGGACGACCAGCCACACUGGGACUGAGACACGGCCCAGACUCCUACGGGAGGCAGCAGUGGGGAAUUUUGGACAAUGGGCGAAAGCCUGAUCCAGCAAUGCCGCGUGUGUGAAGAAGGCCUUCGGGUUGUAAAGCACUUUUGUCCGGAAAGAAAUCCUUGACUCUAAUACAGUCGGGGGAUGACGGUACCGGAAGAAUAAGCACCGGCUAACUACGUG
rnacentral:rRNA from 1 species